AACGAACGCUGGCGGCAUGCCUAACACAUGCAAGUCGAACGAGACCUUCGGGUCUAGUGGCGCACGGGUGCGUAACGCGUGGGAAUCUGCCCUUGGGUUCGGAAUAACUCAGAGAAAUUUGAGCUAAUACCGGAUGAUGACGUAAGUCCAAAGAUUUAUCGCCCAGGGAUGAGCCCGCGUAAGAUUAGCUAGUUGGUGGGUAAAGGCCUACCAAGGCGACGAUCUUUAGCUGGUCNGAGAGGAUGAUCAGCCACACUGGGACUGAGACACGGCCCACGACUCCUACGGGAGGGCAGCAGUGGGAAUAUUGGACAAUGGGCGAAAGCCUGAUCCAGCAAUGCCGCGUGAGUGAUGAA
rnacentral:rRNA from 1 species